AUUGAACGCUGGCGGCAUGCCUUACACAUGCAAGUCGAACGGUAACAGGUCUUCGGAUGUUGACGAGUGGCGAACGGGUGAGUAAUACAUCGGAACGUGCCUAGUAGUGGGGGAUAACUACUCGAAAGAGUGGCUAAUACCGCAUGAGAUCUACGGAUGAAAGCAGGGGAUCGCAAGACCUUGUGCUACUAGAGCGGCCGAUGGCGGAUUAGGUAGUUGGUGGGAUAAAAGCUUACCAAGCCGACGAUCUGUAGCUGGUCUGAGAGGACGAUCAGCCACACUGGGACUGAGACACGGCCCAGACUCCUACGGGAGGCAGCAGUGGGGAAUUUUGGACAAUGGGCGCAAGCCUGAUCCAGCAAUGCCGCGUGCAGGAUGAAGGCCUUCGGGUUGUAAACUGCUUUUGUACGGAACGAAAAGCCCCGGGUUAAUACCCUGGGGUCGUGACGGUACCGUAAGAAUAAGCACCGGCUAACUACGUGCCAGCCGCCGCCGUAA
rnacentral:rRNA from 1 species